GUGAAGAACGUAGCGAAAUGCGAUAAGUAAUGUGAAUUGCAGAAUUCAGUGAAUCAUCGAAUCUUUGAACGCACAUUGCGCCCCCUGGUAUUCCGGGGGGCAUGCCUGUUCGAGCGUCAUUUCACCACUCAAGCCUCGCUUGGUAUUGGGCAACGCGGUCCGCCGCGUGCCUCAAAUCGACCGGCUGGGUCUUCUGUCCCCUAAGCGUUGUGGAAACUAUUCGCUAAAGGGUGUUCGGGAGGCUACGCCGUAAAACAACCCCAUUUCUAAGGUUGACCUCGGAUCAGGUAGGGAUACCCGCUGAACUUAAGCAUAUCAAUAAGCGGAGGA
rnacentral:misc_RNA from 1 species